GACGAACGCUGGCGGCGUGCUUAACACAUGCAAGUCGAACGGAAAGGCCCCUUUGGUGGUACUCGAGUGGCGAACGGGUGGGUAACACGUGAGUAACCUUCCCUUUACUUCGGUAGCAUUUCAGGAAACUAGGGGUGAUACCGGAUAGGAAUGCUUGCUCCAUGGUGGGGGUUGGAUGGCUUCGGCGGUUUGGGAUGGACUCGCGGCUUAUCAGCUUGUUGGUGGGGUAGUGGCUUACCCAGGCUUUGACGGGUAGCCGGCCUGAGAUGGCGACCGGCCAAAAUGGGACCGAGAUACGGCCCAGACUCCUACGGGAGGAAGAAGUGGGGAAUAUUGAACAAUGGGCGGAAGCCCGAUGCAGCAACGCCGCGGGCGGGAUGACGGCCAUCGGGUUGUAAACCGCUUUCAGCAGGGGCGAAGCUUGUGGUGACGGUACCUGCAGAAGAAGCACCGGCUAACUACGUG
rnacentral:rRNA from 1 species